GUGGUUUUCCAACGUUUCGUCGUCUCGGUGUGAUCAAAUAAAGUGCUGUUUAAGGUAUAACUACCUACUUGCAAAGUAAAGAACAGUCGAGUUGAGAGCACCCUAUGCCUCCCCCUGUCUUUUCUUUAGUAUUGUGAUAUUAUCUUAGCGAAAGGAUGCUUGUUUGUGUAUUGUGAUCUGUUUGUAACCAUGUCUCUUCUACGCUGCAUCAACUGCGAUAUUCGAGUGACUCGAAUUAGGCGGCAUCUACUCCUGGAAGAGAGUGAGGCUCUUACAGAAGUUAUGAGACUGUGAACAUAUCCAAGAGAGAUCACAAACACUGACUAUUUGCCAUGCCUCUUGGGAACUUAGAAAUGCUCAAGUCACUGGAGCAAACAUUGUUGAGAAUCAAGAGAGGCUAAUUGGUCUUCACAACAUUUGUGUAGGAUGCGGCCGCUCGAUUUUCAGUCAGUUCUCGCACAAUAUUGAGAGAAACUCCUAAAAAAUGAAGAAGGCCCAAUAGUUGUCAUUAUAUCACAGUGGUUUUUAGACUGUUAUUGUUUCACUGUAUGUUUUCCGAACAAAAUAAAAUAAAUAAAUAAUUGUCUCUGUUCUGUGUGUCCGUACAAUAAAUAUGUCUUUAUAUACGUUUUUUUUAGAAUAACUAGGAUUUGAUCUAUAUUGUUAUGUUUUAGAUUACUCAAAGUGAUCAAGCAUGUACCGCAUGUUGGUUACGCGCUCAGAGAACUCUCCGUCGUCAGCAAUUGGUUGAUGAGGCCAGAAACAUAAAUGAAGAAUUAACAACAUGUGUCAAUUGCAACAAAGAUUUGUUACAUAGCAAUGGCCACUUAUUGAGAAACGAAGACGAAAAUGUCAUCAACAUCAUUAAAAGCUGGAUCCUAAUAAUAUCAACCUCAUGGAUAGUAUUUGCCAUGCUUGUUGGCAACUUGCAAAUGAAGCAACACGGCAAGGUUCUGAGUCACCAGAGACUGCAUCCCAACCGUUGCAGACAGAUGACCCUCCUGACUCACAUGAACUACAGGAAGAUAAUCAUGAGGAGGCGUGCCAUCAUAGGAUAUUGUUGCAACUGUAUUGUGGGUUUGAGGACAGUAGGGUCACGUCACAGUAGGGUGUUGCUCACAUGUGAUGAGUAUCGUAUGGUAUUUAGCCUAUGCUCGUCACUUAGACAAUAUAUCACAACCUGCACAAGUGUCAGA